ACCGCAUCCACUUGCGCCAGGCCGCGAGGUCAAGGGUGACGCAAGAUGGUGGCGCCUAGGAGCUGCUGAGGCGUGAAACGGAGGAUGGCGGUGGCGGCGGCCGGGGUACUGCUGGGGCGGCGGCUGAAGUGGCCGGCCCCGGUCCGUGAGCACUGGACGCCGGCGGGGCGUUCUCGUAGCCGGCGUGAGGCGGCCGAGGCGGAGGCUGAGGCGCCGGUGUUCCAGUACGUGGGCGACUGUGCGGCCCGCGGCGACCGCGUAUUCGUGUGGGGCUUCAGCUUCUCGGGAGCGCUUGGCGUGCCCAGCUUCGUGCUGCCGGCCUCCGGGCCCGAACGCCGCGCCGGCCUGAGGUCUCGCCGCAGGAUCCAGCCGGUGCCCUACCGCCUGGAACUGGACCAGAAGAUUUCCUCUGCUGCCUGUGGCUAUGGAUUCACACUGCUGUCCUCUAAAACCAAGGAUAUCACAAAAGUUUGGGGUAUGGGACUCAACAAAGAUUCUCAGCUUGGAUUCCACAGGAGCUGGAAGGAUAAAACCAGGGGCUACGAAUACAUUUUGGAGCCCUCGCCUGUCCUGCUGCCCCUGGACAGACCUCAGGAGACACGGGUGCUGCAGGUGUCCUGUGGUCGAGCGCAUUCCCUUGUCCUGACAGACAGCGAAGGCGUCUUCAGCAUGGGAAACAAUUCCUACGGGCAGUGCGGGCGGAAGGUGGUGGAGGACGAAGUGUACAGUGAGAGUCACAAAGUCCAUAGGAUGCAGGACUUCGAUGGACAGGUGGUUCAGGUUGCCUGUGGUCAGGACCACAGCCUGUUUCUCACAGACAAAGGUGAAGUGUAUUCUUGUGGAUGGGGCGCCGAUGGGCAGACAGGCCUGGGUCACUACAACAUCACCAGUGCGCCCACCAAACUGGGUGGAGACCUCACAGGGGUGAUGAUUGUCCAGGUCUCCACGUAUGGCGACUGCUGCCUGGCUGUGUCUGCUGACGGAGGCAUCUUUGGCUGGGGAAACUCGGAGUACCUGCAGCUGGCCUCAGUCACGGACUCCACACAGGUAAAUAUCCCUCGGUGCUUGCCCUUCUCAGGAGUGGGCAAGGUGAAGCAGGCAGCUUGUGGUGGCACGGGCUGUGCUGUACUGAAUGAAGAAGGAUGUGUUUUCGUCUGGGGCUACGGAAUUCUUGGAAAAGGACCAAACCUCUUGGAAACAGCUCUUCCAGAAAUGAUUCCACCCACACUUUUUGGCUUGACAGAGUUCAACUCUGAAGUUCAAGUUUCCCAGGUCCGAUGUGGGCUCAGCCACUUUGCCGCACUUACCAACAAAGGUGAGCUGUUUGUGUGGGGCAAGAACCUCCGAGGGUGCCUGGGGAUUGGCCGUCUGGAGGACCAGUACUUCCCAUGGAGGGGUGGAGCCAUGUUCACAGUGGGCAAGGGAACUGCCAAAAAGCCAGGCUGGGAGUAUGACUCAGUGGGUGGAGAGCUGACCUAGUAUGCUUGAAGCCCUGGGUUCCCAGCACUCGGGAUGUGAAGGCCAAAGGAUCAGAAGUUCAAGGUGACGAUGCCCGGUGAGCCUGUGGACAUAGCAUGUGGCGUGGAUCACAUGGUGACUCUGGCCAAGUCAUUCAUCUAAACCUUCUUUCUGGCCUGACCCAGCCUGGCCCUGGCCUUGGAACCACACAGAGGGCUCGGCAGAGGCAGGGAGUGAUUGCCAGUGGGGCUUAUGAGAGAGAAGGCCAGAGUGUAGAGUGUGAGGCUUGCUCUGCACCCUCAGCGUGGAGGUUAUAUUGGGAGUCUCCAGACAAGGCCCUUCCUCUGCCAAGGCCUUGGCCUGCUAAACUAAGCACAGGACAGCUGUCUUUGACUUGCCAGGCUCCUGAGGAGUCCCAGGGCAUCGGGACCCUAGAUGGCUGGGGUGGUUCACACCUCACCCUUUUCACCUAGCACAUAGUGGUUUGUAGGGUAGGGUUAGGCUGGAUGCAUUACUCUUAGGUUAGCUGGUUGCUCAUGACACAUUUGAUCUUAAGAUGGGAGAUAGGACAAGGCACUAGGAGGGCCUUGGUAGUCCUGUUAUAGCUGGCCGAGUGGAGGCCUCAGGCUGGCUCCAGCCCAGCAAGGCAGCCAGCUGCCUUCAGCUGGGUCAGCUCUCAGUCCCUUGUCUCCCACUGACCUCUCUGGUCAGCUGCCACACUGCAGGUUCCCCAGAAGGACACAGUCUGGCAACCUGGAAUACCUUGGCCUGAGAUUCUACAUGGAGAAGCCAGUGUGAGCCAGUCCUGCACCCCAGGGCCUGUGGUGGUCCAGGCUCUAAAUUUUUUUCAUUGCCUGCCUCAGAACCACCCAGAAGCCUGGAGGAAGAAGCUGCAGGCCAAAUGUGUGUGGGCUAGAGGACGGUCUUGGAGCAGAAAGCCCCAGAAAUUGGGAAAACAUUUGUUUUUGUAAGAAAAGUCAUCUUUUCCUUUCAAAACAGCCUUUUAAAAUGUCUCUUGGAAUAAAGUCUAUUUUCUGCA